rfam:Mesocestoides corti genome assembly, scaffold: MCOS_contig0004069
GGCUCGGUGGUGUAGUGGUUAUCACGUCUGCUUUACACGCAGAAGGUCCCCGGUUCGAACCCGGGUCGAGUCA